UACGGGGGGGGCAAGCGUUGUUCGGAAUUACUGGGCGUAAAGGGUUCGUAGGUGGCCUGCUAAGUCAGACGUGAAAUCCCUCAGCUUAACUGGGGAACUGCGUCUGAGACUGGUGGGCUUGAGUGCAGGAGAGGGAUGUGGAAUUCCAGGUGUAGCGGUGGAAUGCGCAGAUAUCAGGAGGAACACCGGUGGCGAAGGCGGGAUCCUGGGCCAGUACUGACGCUGAGGAGCGAAAGCGUGGGGAGCAAACAGG
rnacentral:rRNA from 1 species